UACAGAGGUCUCAAGCGUUGUUCGGAUUCAUUGGGCGUAAAGGGUGCGUAGGUGGCGCUGUAAGUCGGGUGUGAAAUUUCGGAGCUUAACUCCGAAACUGCAUUCGAUACUGGCGUGCUUGAGGACUGGAGAGGAGACUGGAAUUCAUGGUGUAGCAGUGAAAUGCGUAGAGAUCAUGAGGAAGACCAGUGGCGAAGGCGGGUCUCUGGACAGUUCCUGACACUGAG
rnacentral:rRNA from 1 species